rnacentral:tRNA from 1 species
AGCUUUUUAGUUUAUUUAAAAAUUUUUGUUUGUGGUACAAAAGAAGUUUGAGCUAUAAGUUU